rnacentral:lncRNA from 1 species
GGUUGGCAAGAAUGUGACCUGGGAGUAAAGAAAAGUAUGGGUAUAGACAGUCUAGAUACUCCCUCCAUUUAUCUUCUCCUAAAUGGCAAACCCCUUUUUCAGUAUCUUUGCCAAGAAAACCCCAAAUAGAAUCACAAAGACUCUGACACAACUGAAAUGACUGAACAACAAAGACAUAUGAGAAAAAGAUGUGGAUUUCUAGUAUACAGCUUAAAAUACAGGAAUGCUCUUCUCUUUGCAAAGAUACUAGAGUGGCUUGCCAUUUCCUUCUGUGGCUAAUUUUAUAGAUGAGGAAACUGAGGCAAACAAGGCUAAGGGACUUGCUAAGGAUCACACAGCUAGUUAGUAUCUAAAGUCACAUUUGAACUCAGAUCUUUCUGGCUCCAAAAGCAACUAACUGCCUAACCAUUGAAUUCGUGCCCUUUUUGGGUAAUCGAUUCCAAUAUCUCUCCAGGCAUUUGAGGUCUGCCCUGACUUCUUAAUGCAACAUCCACAUCGCACUCAUCAGGUAUGGAGGAGACAUUGGAUUGAUGGAGAAGCAAACAAACUGGGCAGAGACACCUACCAAGAACGAAAUAAUACUGAAAAUUUCUACAACUGUGUGCAGACAUCCCCACCGUGGGUUGGACAGAUGAGAACAAUUUGUUCUAAUAGC